CUCGUUGAGGCGCAGUAGUUGACUGGACAUCUAGGGGUAAAGCAUUGUUUUGGUGCGGGCUGCGCGAGCGGUACCAAAUCGAGGAAAACUCUGAAUACUAGAUAUGACCCAAAAAUAACAGGGGUCAAGGUCGGCGAAUGAGACGAUGGGGGAUAAGCUUCAUCGUCAAGAGGGAAACAGCCCGGAUCACCAGCUAAGGCCCCUAAAUGACCGCUCAGUGAUAAAGGGGGUGGGGGUGCAAAGACACCUUUCACAUUGGUAAGUCAAAUCCUGGUGAAGACAUCACGAGCAAUGACACGACGACAUCAUCUCCACUUCGUAGCCCAUCGGUCUUUAUUCAUUGAAGCCAGUGCAUUGACUGACU
rnacentral:ncRNA from 1 species